rnacentral:tRNA from 1 species
UGGGCCCUCUUCGCAGCCCUGGCCGUCACCCGGCCCGGGGCCGCACUGGGGGCCUGGCGGAAGCGC